ensembl:misc_RNA Y_RNA Y RNA
GACUGGUCCAAAGGUAGUGAGUUAUCUCAACUGACUGUUCACAGUCAGUUACAGAUCAAAUUAUUUGUUCUAUUCUUUCCCCGCUUCUCACUACUGCACUUGACUAUUCUUAG